CACGGAGAUAAUAAGAACAGACUUUCUGCAGUGCCUCCUGAGUGAGUGAUUGGGUUGUCAUUGUCUAAACAGAGCAGCUGGGUUAAAGAUAUUUGUCCACGAUGUAACCUCCUGGCCCUGAGCUACGGCUGGAAGCAGCUCUUUCUGGUUUGACCUGUUAAUGCCACAAACUCCACUUUGCCAGAAAUGUGACUUCUUGAUGAAUAGUCGGUCCAAACCUGCCAAUUUGGAGUGAACUCAUAUUUGGUCACCUGCUGGAGCGCCAAAGACCAAGAGGAGACCAGAUGAGUUUCCAAAGCAGUCCUCACACACCGAGGACGCACCUCAUCCUUUGCCUCACGCUUUCUGCAAUGUUGCUGCUCACGUUCAUCUUCCUGCUAACCCUUGCCAUAAUAAUCCCUUCCUGACCACCAUCCCUUCUCCAUUCACCACCCACUCAGCUCCUUCUCUGAGGUGCCCCUCUUAUGGGCAGUGGCUUUAGUCUCUGUUUGGCAAGUUCCCUUUUAAGUUAUAUCCAGAUGCCUGAUGUUAGUUUCCCUCUUUCUCAUCCCUGACUUUUGCCAAACUCGGCCAAACACUCAUCCCCCUGGUCAAGAAACCCAUAGCAAAUCCUAUUUCUUCCAAAAUGAAGUUACUAGACAUUCUACCAGAGCAGUCACACUCAAUGAAGGGGCCCAAGAUAUAUCUGAGUGUGAUGUUAUUGGAAUCACAUGGAAAAAACAGAAAUUCCUGAAUCCCAGUCAGAUACAGUGAAAGAGCUUACUCAUGACUGUUCGGACUGAUUGAGAAUGUGGAGGUAGGAGGAGCAAGAACCUCAGAAUUGGAUUACCCCUAAAUACAGGAUGGAAUCAUCUAGAUUUUUUUUUCCUCCAAUUAAAUUUGCAUUUCAUUCACCACAUUGCAAUGGCUUCACUUUAGACAUUUUCAUUCGAGACCCAAGGCUUCUCUUCAUGGGUCCAGAGCCACAGGUUCCUGGAUGGUGAGGCCAAAAUAGUUGUG